GACGAACGCUGGCGGCGUGCUUAACACAUGCAAGUCGAACGGAAAGGCCCUGCUUUUGUGGGGUGCUCGAGUGGCGAACGGGUGAGUAACACGUGAGUAACCUGCCCUUGACUUUGGGAUAACUUCAGGAAACUGGGGCUAAUACCGGAUAGGAGCUCCUGCUGCAUGGUGGGGGUUGGAAAGUUUUGGCGGUUGGGGGUGGACUCCCGGCUUAUCAGCUGGUUGGUGGGGUAGUGGCUUACCAAGGCUUUGACGGGUAGCCGGCCUGAGUGGGUGACCGGCCACAUUGGGACUGGGAUACGGCCCAGACUCCUACGGGAGGAAGCAGUGGGGAAUAUUGCACAAGGGGCGGAAGCCUGAUGCAGCAACGCCGCGUGCGGGAUGACGGCCUUCGGGUUGUAAACCGCUUUCGCCUGUGACGAAGCGUGAGUGACGGUAAUGGGUAAAGAAGCACCGGCUAACUACGUG
rnacentral:rRNA from 1 species